AUAUCUGGAGCUCAUAGGUGGGAGACAGCUAAUACAUACUUACAAGACAUUUAUUGCAUAGUCAAACUAUGGAUCCAGAGAAACAAGUCAAUAAGUCAAAUCAAGAUGUGCAUGUGUGGGAAUGAAUGGUGUAUGGUGAUGAUGGUGACAAUGGUGAAAACAUUGGUGAAAGUCUAAUUCUACUUUUGCUCUUUUGAGGGGAUACACACCUUUCUUGCACUUUGAAGCUUUUUGAAGGGAAUGAGAUGCUCUAUAUUUUCUCUUUUUUUCUUAUCUCUCAGGUGGCUAUCUUGUACCCCUAAUUCUACUGUCGGACACUUGUCCAUUUUUACCUCUCGUCUCACUUUUUCUUUUCGUCGAGGUUUCGGGCACUUGCCCCUUUUUAUUUCCUCGUAUUCACUCUUUUUUUUAGAGCACUCACCCUCCUAGAAUAAUGUAGCAAGUGGUAGUAACCAAAAUAUCUCGAGCAUUUAUUUCAUGGGGAAUAACAGGGAUAGGAUAAUUGUUUUUGGCUAUUCUCUCCUUGAUAGGAGUAGAAUAAUUUUAGGUGAAUCUGGAGAUGGAUAUGAAUGGAUGUAUGUAGAUGCGUACUUUUGGAGUAGA
rnacentral:lncRNA from 1 species